rnacentral:rRNA from 1 species
CCUACGGGCCGCACCAGUGGGGAAUAUUGGACAAUGGGCGAAAGCCUGAUCCAGCCAUGCCGCGUGAGUGAAGAAGGCCUUAGGGUUGUAAAGCUCUUUCACCGGUGAAGAUAAUGACGGUAACCNGAGAAGAAGCCCCGGCUAACUUCGUGCCAGCAGCCGCGGUAAUACGAAGGGGGCUAGCGUUGUUCGGAAUUACUGGGCGUAAAGCGCGCGUAGGCGGAUAGAUAAGUCAGAGGUGAAAUCCCGGGGCUCAACCCCGGAAUUCCCUUUGGUACUGUUUAUCUUGAGUGCAGAAGAGGUAAGUGGAAUUCCAAGUGUAGAGGUGAAUUUCGUAGAUAUUCGGAGGAACACCAGUGGCGAAGGCGGCUUACUGGUCUGCAACUGACGCUGAGGCGCGAAAGCGUGGGGAGCAAACAGGAUUAGAUACCCGUGUAGUC